rnacentral:rRNA from 1 species
GAUGAACGCUAGCUACAGGCUUAACACAUGCAAGUCGAGGGGCAUCAGGAAGAAAGCUUGCUUUCUUUGCUGGCGACCGGCGCACGGGUGAGUAACACGUAUCCAACCUGCCCUUUACUCGGGGAUAGCCUUUCGAAAGAAAGAUUAAUACCCGAUAGCAUAAUGAUUCCGCAUGGUUUCAUUAUUAAAGGAUUCCGGUAAAGGAUGGGGAUGCGUUCCAUUAGGUUGUUGGUGAGGUAACGGCCCACCAAGCCUUCGAUGGAUAGGGGUUCUGAGAGGAAGGUCCCCCACAUUGGAACUGAGACACGGUCCAAACUCCUACGGGAGGCAGCAGUGAGGAAUAUUGGUCAAUGGGCGCUAGCCUGAACCAGCCAAGUAGCGUGAAGGAUGAAGGCUCUAUGGGUCGUAAACUUCUUUUAUAUAAGAAUAAAGUGCAGUAUGUAUACUGUUUUGUAUGUAUUAUAUGAAUAAGGAUCGGCUAACUCCGUGCCAGCAGCCGCGGUAAUACGGAGGAUCCGAGCGUUAUCCGGAUUUAUUGGGUUUAAAGGGAGCGUAGGUGGACUGGUAAGUCAGUUGUGAAAGUUUGCGGCUCAACCGUAAAAUUGCAGUUGAUACUGUCAGUCUUGAGUACAGUAGAGGUGGGCGGAAUUCGUGGUGUAGCGGUGAAAUGCUUAGAUAUCACGAAGAACUCCGAUUGCGAAGGCAGCUCACUGGACUGCAACUGACACUGAUGCUCGAAAGUGUGGGUAUCAAACAGGAUUAGAUACCCUGGUAGUCCACACAGUAAACGAUGAAUACUCGCUGUUUGCGAUAUACAGUAAGCGGCCAAGCGAAAGCAUUAAGUAUUCCACCUGGGGAGUACGCCGGCAACGGUGAAACUCAAAGGAAUUGACGGGGGCCCGCACAAGCGGAGGAACAUGUGGUUUAAUUCGAUGAUACGCGAGGAACCUUACCCGGGCUUAAAUUGCAGUGGAAUGAUGUGGAAACAUGUCAGUGAGCAAUCACCGCUGUGAAGGUGCUGCAUGGUUGUCGUCAGCUCGUGCCGUGAGGUGUCGGCUUAAGUGCCAUAACGAGCGCAACCCUUAUCUUCAGUUACUAACAGGUCAUGCUGAGGACUCUGGAGAGACUGCCGUCGUAAGAUGUGAGGAAGGUGGGGAUGACGUCAAAUCAGCACGGCCCUUACGUCCGGGGCUACACACGUGUUACAAUGGGGGGUACAGAAGGCAGCUAGCGGGUGACCGUAUGCUAAUCCCAAAAUCCUCUCUCAGUUCGGAUCGAAGUCUGCAACCCGACUUCGUGAAGCUGGAUUCGCUAGUAAUCGCGCAUCAGCCACGGCGCGGUGAAUACGUUCCCGGGCCU